AGGACGAACGCUGGCGGCGUGCUUAACACAUGCAAGUCGAACGGAAAGGCCCGCUUGCGGGUACUCGAGUGGCGAACGGGUGAGUAACACGUGGGCAACCUGCCCUCAGCUUCGGGAUAACACUUGGAAACAGGUGCUAAUACCGGAUAAUAACCUUUCAUCGCAUGGUGUGGGGUUCAAAGUUUUUCGGCUGGGGAUGGGCCCGCGGCCUAUCAGCUUGUUGGUGGGGUAAUGGCCUACCAAGGCGACGACGGGUAGCCGGCCUGAGAGGGCGACCGGCCACACUGGGACUGAGACACGGCCCAGACUCCUACGGGAGGCAGCAGUGGGGAAUAUUGCGCAAUGGGCGGAAGCCUGACGCAGCGACGCCGCGUGAGGGAUGACGGCCUUCGGGUUGUAAACCUCUUUCAGCUCUGACGAAGCGCAAGUGACGGUAGGAGCAGAAGAAGCACCGGCCAACUACGUGCCAGCAGCCGC
rnacentral:rRNA from 1 species